UAUUCAACACUGCUCCGUACUAUAAUUUACGUUCUUCCUUAAUUUUGUUUGCUUCCUUCUGAACAUUAUCUUUUAAAAAUGUCUGCCAGCGGACAGAAAAAAAAUGGCAAAACUUAAACUCAGCGAAUAUAAAACUAAAAAAAGACGUCAGUUACGUCAAAAACUUAAAAAAGGUAACAAAUUUAGAUAAGGCUGAAGCCGAGGAUGUACUUGUAGCUAUUUUUAUAGGUAAACCUAAGGAAACUGUUGAGACUUUAUAUUUAAUAUCCACAUAAGAAAUGUGAUAUUAAUAUAAAUUUUACUAUGCGCCAUUCAUCGAAUGAAAUUAGUUGUUGCUAACGGGGUGUAAAUAAGUGAGUGAAAGAAAUAUAUUUAUGAGUGAUGCGUACGGUGUAAAUGUGUCGACUUAAUAAACAAAGUUUAGCUUUAUUUUAUCCGAAAUCCACUUUCAUUGGCAAUACGGCGAUUAAAAAUAACUGUUGGGUUAAAUCCUUUCUCUUGUUUUAUGAUAGGUUGUUUUGGAUUUUUUAGUACAUCUACGAUUCAGAUUUUAAAUAUUCUUCAAUCAUUCAUGUAUUUUUUUGCUAAACCAUCAAAUUCAUGCAUCGGGUCUGGUAGGACGUUUGGCAUAACGAAACUUGACAUUAGGGACAUUUGACUAAAACACGUUAUCAUAAGUGACAUUUGGCAUAACAACCUAUUUCAAUAACUAGUGAACUUCCAACUACACAAAAAGUAAUCCAAGGAACGAGAAUACACUGUUGCUAUCUCUCGACAAUAUAAACAGACAAGGAUGAUUUUUUUGAAAGAAUCUUUACCGGAAUCUAAAUUGCUUGCUUCGAUAGAGAACAGCAAAAGAAGAAAAAUCGCCGUUUCGGAAAAAAGCAAAAGCUUAUUUCUUCAACAAGUUUGUCUUCUUUCUAUUGAAUGCUGUUCUUCAUUUUUUCCUGGAAGAAAAUUUACGUCACAUUUUCUUUAUGCCAAAUGUUCUUUACGCCAAACGUUAUUAUGCCGAGCGUAUUGAACAACAUUACUUCAUAAUACUUAGUUAGCGGCUUUCACUCUCUGUUCGCUCCGUGUUUGGUCACUACAAUCUUUUUGGCAACACGACGUUACGAGAUACGAGAAUGACAGUUGUCAACGUCAACGUUGGAGAUGAUGAAGAGGAGAAAUGUGAUGACUCAUGGAGAAAGUGAUUUUGGAAUGCUAGGUGGGAAAUUGUCGAAGAAGUUAAAAUUGAAAUUAUUGUCGGAAUAUUGUGCGGAUUAAAGUAGGAGAUUUUUUGAUUGCUGAUAAGUAUAUAUCGCUGAGGUGUGAUAAAGACCCUUGUUGAGCGACGUACCGUUACGCAGUGGCUCAUAAUUAGUGAGUAACAAAUAAUAUUGAAUUAUUCCAAAUAUUGAAUUCUGAUGCUUAAUUUAGUAGGGUAAAGGAGGAUUCAUUCAUUAACUAUUGGGUACGUUCGGAUUGGCCAAAGAGAUAUCAGUAUUUUGUAAGUAUACGAUUGUAUGGGAUAAUUAAGUAUUCUAAUUAAAGGUCAUUUGCAGUUUGAGCUGUCUACACCAAGA